GAGUACCUGCACUACCUCAGUGAGCGAGAUGCCCGUAAGAUCCUCAUCGCAGACCUGAAUGAGCUGCGGUACCAGCGGGAGGACAUGUCAUUAGCCCAGUCACCAGGCAUCUGGGGGGAGGACCCUGUGAAGUUAACCCUGGCUCUUACGAUGACCCGGCAAGACCUGACCCGCACGCAGAUGGAACUCAACACCAUGAAGGCCAACUUUGGAGAUGUGGUCCCCAGGAGGGACUUUGAAAUGCAGGAGAAGACCAACAAGCAUCUUCAGGAGCAGGUGCUGGCAAGCAGGCAGGGCCAGGAGGGUAGGACGGGGUCUCACAGGUGGGGGGCCAGGGCCAAUGUCCUUGCCCACAGCUGGACACCCUGAGAGCCAGCUACGAGGAGGUUCGCAAGGAGCAUGAGAUCCUCAUGCAGCUGCACAUGAGCACGCUGAAGGAACGGGACCAAUUCUUCUCUGAGCUGCAGGAGAUCCAGCGCACUUCCACGCCGCGGCCUGACUGGACCAAGUGCAAAGAUGUGGUGGCUGGGGGCCCAGAUCGCUGGCAGAUGCUGGCUGAGGGCAAGAACAGCGACCAGCUGGUGGACGUGCUCCUGGAAGAGAUUGGUUCGGGGCUGCUGCGGGA
rnacentral:lncRNA from 1 species